AGUGAACGCUGGCGGUAGGCCUAACACAUGCAAGUCGAACGGCAGCACAGGAGAGCUUGCUCUCUGGGUGGCGAGUGGCGGACGGGUGAGGAAUACAUCGGAAUCUACUCUGUCGUGGGGGAUAACGUAGGGAAACUUACGCUAAUACCGCAUACGACCUACGGGUGAAAGCAGGGGAUCUUCGGACCUUGCGCGAUUGAAUGAGCCGAUGUCGGAUUAGCUAGUUGGCGGGGUAAAGGCCCACCAAGGCGACGAUCCGUAGCUGGUCUGAGAGGAUGAUCAGCCACACUGGAACUGAGACACGGUCCAGACUCGUACGGGAGGCAGCAGUGGGGAAUAUUGGACAAUGGGCGCAAGCCUGAUCCAGCCAUACCGCGUGGGUGAAGGAGGCCUUCGGGUUGUAAAGCCCUUUUGUUGGGAAAGAAAUCCAGCUGGCUAAUACCCGGUUGGGAUGACGGUACCCAAAGAAUAAGCACCGGCUAACUUCGUGCCAGCCGCCGCAGUAACAC
rnacentral:rRNA from 1 species